rnacentral:rRNA from 1 species
GAGUUGAUCCUGGUUCAGAUUGAACGCUGGCGGCAUGCUUUACACAUGCAAGUCGAACGGCAGCGCGGGGCAACCUGGCGGCGAGUGGCGAACGGGUGAGUAAUACAUCGGAACGUACCCAGAAGUGGGGGAUAACGUAGCGAAAGUUACGCUAAUACCGCAUACGAUCUACGGAUGAAAGUGGGGGACCUUCGGGCCUCAUGCUUUUGGAGCGGCCGAUGUCUGAUUAGCUAGUUGGUAGGGUAAAGGCCUACCAAGGCGACGAUCAGUAGCUGGUCUGAGAGGACGACCAGCCACACUGGGACUGAGACACGGCCCAGACUCCUACGGGAGGCAGCAGUGGGGAAUUUUGGACAAUGGGCGCAAGCCUGAUCCAGCAAUGCCGCGUGAGUGAAGAAGGCCUUCGGGUUGUAAAGCUCUUUUGUCAGGGAAGAAACGGCUGAGGAUAAUACCUUCGGCUAAUGACGGUACCUGAAGAAUAAGCACCGGCUAACUACGUGCCAGCAGCCGCGGUAAUACGUAGGGUGCAAGCGUUAAUCGGAAUUACUGGGCGUAAAGCGUGCGCAGGCGGUUUUGUAAGUCUGACGUGAAAGCCCCGGGCUCAACCUGGGAAUUGCGUUGGAGACUGCAAGGCUUGAAUCUGGCAGAGGGGGGUAGAAUUCCACGUGUAGCAGUGAAAUGCGUAGAGAUGUGGAGGAACACCGAUGGCGAAGGCAGCCCCCUGGGUCAAGAUUGACGCUCAUGCACGAAAGCGUGGGGAGCAAACAGGAUUAGACACCCUGGUAGUCCACGCCCUAAACGAUGUCUACUAGUUGUCGGGUUUUAAUUAACUUGGUAACGCAGCUAACGCGUGAAGUAGACCGCCUGGGGAGUACGGUCGCAAGAUUAAACUUA